UCUAAAUAGCAGCUGAACCUGGCAUUCCAAGCUGUAAAGUUUUUUUUUGUUGUUGUUUUUGUUUUUUUAAGAAAAAAACAACAACCAGCCAACAGGAAAAGUUUAUCUGGGGAAGCACAAAAUACAGGCCCUUUGAAGACUAUGGGAUUUGCUGAAGAAACUGAAGAUGGAGAAGUCAUGGAAGACAGUCAUGACCCAGAAGAGUAUUAUGAAAAGCCGUGCCUCUCCCACUUCCAUCUCCCGCUCGAAGGAGCAGCAUAGGAUGGACACAUCAGGACCCUCAAUGCUGGGAUGUUGCUUAAGAAUGACAAGGGAUGAGAUCAAAGUUGAAGCCACCUACCACAGUCUCUAUGGGUUCCUCUCGCCUUUGAAUGUGCCACUCGGCGUCCAAACAGGACACACCAAAAAGGAUUUCACUACAGAGAGGAUACAAAACUCACAGAGUUUCCAAAUUCGAAGCACGUAUUCCAAGAAAAUAAUUGAUCGUGUGUACAAAGAUUUAAUUACAAGAAAGAGCCUGCACCAAGGUUUAUAAUAUGGAAAAUUGGGAAACGGCCUAAGUGUCUGGUGAUAGAAUCGUGGUUAAACAAGCUGUGAUACAUUCAUCCAGUAGAAUAUAUACAGUGUCAUUAAAAGUAAGGAGGAUGGAAAUGCCCGGG
rnacentral:lncRNA from 1 species